rnacentral:rRNA from 1 species
AACGAACGCUGGCGGCAUGCCUAACACAUGCAAGUCGAACGAUCCCUUCGGGGAUAGUGGCGCACGGGUGCGUAACGCGGGGGAACCUGCCCUUAGGUUCGGAAUAACUCAGAGAAAUUUGAGCUAAUACCGGAUAAUGUCUUCGGACCAAAGAUUUAUCGCCUUUGGAUGGGCCCGCGUUGGAUUAGCUGGUUGGUGGGGUAAAGGCCUACCAAGGCGACGGUCCAUAGCUGGUCUGAGAGGAUGCUCAGCCACACUGGGACUGAGACACGGCCCAGACUCCUACGGGAGGGAGCAGUGGAGAAUAUUGGACACUGGGCGAAAGCCUAAUCCAGCAAUGCCGCGUGAGUGAUGAAGGCCUUAGGGUUGUAAAGCUCUUUUACCCGGGAUGAUAAUGACAGUACCGGGAGAAUAAGCCCCGGCUAACUCCGUG